rnacentral:lncRNA from 1 species
UGAUCCAGAGGACUCCUGCUGCAAAUUGGUGUAAGGUUUUGAAGAGUCCUGUUUCCUUACUUUGAAGAUGCCCCAAAGAAAAAAUAACAUGUUCCAACCUAAAAAGCAGCAUGCAUAAUGUUCCAACAGAGAGAAUAAUUCAGAUGUGAUUAGAACCCUUAGAAAAACAUAAAUUUGCAAAAUCAUGUCUACGAAAAGAAAACCAGAGCCUUUCACAUGUGCAUUAUGUUUAAGCAUGAAAAGCAUAAUUAAUACUUACGUUGUGAACUCUCAGGUAGCACAUUCGAUGGAAAUAUAAGAAGCUCCACCUCAUUGAUGCUCCCUUUGAAGGCUAAAUCAUUUUUUUGGGCAGCAUCCAAUAACUUCUGGUAAGAUUUCUC